AGUGCCUUCAGUUGGAUUUGAAGAUACCAUGCUGCAAAAGUUUCAGUCCUUCUAAAAAAUGGUAUCUGGCUAGACCACUCAUUUUAACUUCUGUCAGGAGCAGCUGAUUCGUUAAACCAGUACCUGGAAUCAGAAAUGGGCUAAAAGAGAGUGAUUAAGCUGAAGCUUCAUCUUGGCAAGGUAUUCUUGGUUCAGCUCUGAUUAUUUUAUUAUAAGGAUACAUCUAGAUUCUGUGGAAGAAAGAAGGUCCUACGGUACUCUAGUGCAUAUGGAGGCACCUCAAAUGUGAUGGAGGCACAAUGGUUCUUAAAAGAAGACUGGAACUGGGACAUGAACAAUGGAAACAUGUGAACACAUGAUGACACUAUCUUAUACUGAAUCAGACCAUUAGUCCAUCAAAGUCAGUGUUGUUUUCUUAGACUGGCAAAGGCUCGCCAGUGUCUCAGGUUGUGGUCUUUUACCACCUACCAUCUGAUUCUUUCAGGUAGCCAUUCUGAGGAUUGCAUCUAUAACCAUCUACAUGCAAAACAGAUUACCACUGAGUUGUAGCCACUUCUCUAAGCAAAAGAACAAGAAGUUAGAAGGCCAGGUCGACUUUUCUUAAUAAAAGUCUAGAAUCCAAUGAUCAUACAAUUAUCAGAGUCACUUAAGCAACAUUUAUUUUUAUUUAUAUGUUAUUCAUAGCCCACCUUUCUCACUGAGACUCAAGGAGGAUUACACAGUAUAAGUCAAUAUGAUCAGUGGCUGGGACAUUCAAUAAACAAUAUAACAGGGUAUGGAUAGCAGAAAUUUGAAGACAAGGGCUGGAUCGAGGGGGGGCAGGGGGGUAGCCUGCCCCUGGUGCCGCCAAAGAGGGGGCACCAGGCGCAGCUGCCAGCCACCAGGAGCACGCUGCAGCUUGCCACACAGGAGGCUGAGCACAGGGUUGGGAGGCCCUCGCCAGCCCCGCCGAUG